CAGCCGGAAGCAAUGGUGUUCUUCUC
rnacentral:piRNA from 1 species